GGGACAGAGGGACAGAGGACAUGGGGACAGAGGGACAGAGGACAUGGGGACAAGGAUAGGGGGACAGAGGGACAGAGGACAUGGGGACAGAGGGACAGAGGGACAGGGACAUGGGGACAGAGGGACGGGACAGAGGGACAGGGGACAGAGGGACGGGACAGAGGGACAGAGGGAAAGGGACAUGGGGACAGAGGGACGGGGGACAGGGGACAUGGGGACAUGGGGACAGAGGGACAUGGGGACACGAGCGUGACACAUCAGGGACGUGGCACAAGGUGACAAAAAGACACGAGGACGGAACGAGACGGUGACAAAGGAUGUGUCAUAACAUGGGACAGGGUGACAAAGGGACACGGGACACAGGGACAGAGGGACAAAGGGACACGGGACACAGGGACAGAAGGACACAAGGACAGAGGGACGAGAUGGAACGGAACAAGGGACACAUCACGGUGACAAAGGGACAAGGGACAGGGUGACAAAGGGACACGAGGCGGUGACAGAGCCACACGACAGGGACACAGUGACAAAACGCCACGUUGGGGACAUGCUGGGGACACUCUGGAGACACAUUGGGGACACUGGGGAGACACUGGGGAGACAUCAGGAACACACUGGGGACACUCUGGGGACACAUUGGGGACACACUGGGGACACCCCCCCCCCCCCCCCCCCCCCCCCCCCCCCCCCCCCCCCCCCCCCCCCCCCCCCCCCCCCCCCCCAUUGGGGACACACUGGGGACACUCCCCCCCCCCCCCCCCCCCCCCCCCCCCCCACACUGGGGACACUCUGGGGACACAUUGGGGACACACUGGGGACACUCUGGGGACACAUUGGGGACACACUGGGGACACAUCAGGAACACACUGGGGACACGUUGGGAACACAUCGGGGACACAUUAAGGACAUGUUGGGGACACAUUACGAACACCUUGGGGACAUGUUGGGGACACUUUGUGGACACGUUGGGGUCACACUAAGGACACGUUGGGGAAACACUGGGGACACACUGGGGACACACUGGGGACACACUGGGGACACACUAAGGACACACCAA
rnacentral:lncRNA from 12 species